GAUAUGUUAAAGGCCUUAAGAAUGGUUCAAAACCAACUACUUCUUCAACCAGUAAAAAGACUUUAGAUUUAGAGGAAGCUCUUCAGAGGACUCGGGAGGAAGCUAAUAGAGUUCAAAAUGAGCUAAGGGAGGAGAUACAAACUUGCUGAUCUAAGUUAGAGGAUGUCAUGAUGUAGAUGGCAGCUAUUAACUCGCCAAGAUCAAUAUGACCGUAUACUUACAUCUAUGAUAGCUAAUGCAUCUACUCCACAUGCCUCCCAAUAUAUGGUAAAACAUAAGCAACAUAUUAUUUUUAAACUAUUUUUUAUAAUUAAUUUAAUAAAUUUUCUUCUAUAAGAAAAAUUUAGUAUCUUUUUAUCCAA
rnacentral:lncRNA from 1 species